rnacentral:snRNA from 1 species
AGCUUUGCGCAGUGGCAGCAUUGUAGCCAAUGAGGUUUAUCCAAGGGGCAAUUAUUGCUAAUUGAAAACUUUUCCCAAUACCCCACCAUGACAACUUGAAAUAUAACUGGCAAUUUUUAACAGUCUCUAUGCAGA